CCACCCCAAACCUACCCAGCUCCCACCUCGGGGUGGAAAGAGGCAGGAAGUGCCUCAUCCUGGAACUUCCUUUUCUCUGUUCUUCUUUCCCUUCAGCCCCAUCCUCUCCAUGUCACCUGCCUUUCCUUCCUCAUCUGUCCCUCCCCAGCUUCUGGAUUCUAGUCCUAGCCCUGAUCUGUAUCACUCCUGUGUCCACCUGGACCCACCAUCACAGUCUGUCCCUGAGGGGCAGGAAUGGACAUCACAGACAUCUUAGAGUAUGUUAGGUUAGGUGCUCAGUCUAAUGGAAUCAUCACAAUUGCCCCCAAGGGCAGCAUUACUAUCUCCUCAUUCCACAGACAGGAGUCAAAAGCUCAGAGAACUGGACCAGUUUGCAGAGGUCUCCAAGAUCAGCGCUCCUCAAAUGCCAAUUUGUACCCAGAUCCCCUCUGUAAAGUGCUGGUUCUGGUUUAAUACAUGGAGGUAGACGGAUUCCCAGGAAUGAAACUUGCUGAUCUAUGGACCACACAAAUUUCGUACAUGAGUACAUGUCUCAGGUCUUUUGAGAAGUGCUUUUGAUAGAUCCUCUCCUCGGAUCCUUUCACACGAGCCACAUGAGGUGAUCAUUGUUGCCCCCUCAUGAAGGAUGAAGUGAUUGAAGCUCAGAGACGGAAAGCAGCUAAGUAUACACAGCAAGCAAAGAGCAGCAGAGGUUUGAACAGGAUGGAGCCCUACUUAGAAUACAGCCAGGACUUGUGAAGCACCCUGGUGGCUGCUCCGUGGGGGAAAGAUGUUUGAGGCUCCUCCUGUAGGCUUACAUGUCAACAUGUGUACACAGACACAUCUGCUACUGGAUAGGGUGGAGCUUAUUCCUGACUCAGGAGGAGUCGAUUACCUGGCAGGUGCACAGGUGAAGUAGUUGUCCUGGAGACAGGGCAAUGGGUGACACAGAAAGUAGUCCAGGUCCAAAGGACUUUCCACAGAGGCUGGACAGGCCAGACUGGCAGGUCUGGGCCACCUGCACAGCUUGGGUCAGGCCCCACUGCUGGGAAGAGCGGGUCGUUGCCCUGGAGACAGUCCUGGCCCAGGCAGUGAUGGUGGAGUCAGCCACCAGCUCCUAAGUGGUAGAAUUCUGGUGGCAGCACAGCCCGCAGCCUCUUCCAUGGAGACGGCACGACUGUUCAGCCACAAGGUCCCACUGGCUGUCCACUACUCCCUCCCCACAGGCUGGCCUGGAAAGAUGUGUAAACAAGAGUGGAGAGCCCAGAGGCCCAAUCAUAGAGAGUUGGUGCUGGACCAGGAAGUGUUCUGAUGGCGGCAGGGCCAUCUCCAGAUAACCUCAGCUUCUAAGCUCUUCCCAUGGGGCCUUGAUCCUAUGAUCAAGGAGCCCUAACACCUCCUCUCCAUCUUGGCUUCUGAACCUCUGCUACCUGCCCUAGCUGGGGUGUGUGACCUUAGAACUUCCUUGAGCUGAAGGCUAGUGGUCUGUAAGCAGGUCACCCUAGGAUCCCUCUGCCAGCUUCCUCUAGCUAGCCCUUCACUGGUCCCUCUCUGACUAUCUCUCCCUGCAGCGCUGACCUGAAUCACUGCCAGUUUCCUGCUCUAGGUCUAUCUCCCAACCGCUUCUGUAGAUCCCUAGGUCUACAUUUUCUGGGUGCCCAGCCCGUUAACCCUCCAGACUCGGUUUCUCUGUACCCAGCCCUUGGCCGUCCUGUUUACCAUCCCAAACCCCUUGCUCUCCCAAAGCCUAGAUGCUGCCUGCCCUCUUUGCCCCUCGCCCUCUGUUCCUCUAUCCUACUUGUUUUUCUCUCUGUUCAUCUUCCAUGGAAGUAUUCAGUUCCUACAGCUUGUCUUCCUCCUAGAUUUUACUAGGGGCCCAAGGUUGCCCUGAGGUCCUCCUCCCUGUAGUCUCUCCCUCCCCAUCUGCCCGAGACAAUGAUCAGGAGCUGGAAGAGAUCUGUCCAGAGCUUGCUUUCCUGAGCGAUGGCUUCUCUCUCAGCCCUCUGAGCUCCAUCCAUCCACAGCUCCCAUUUCCCAAGAUAGCUCUCCCUGCCCGGUUGCUCCCCCCGCCCCAACCCCUACCCCAGCCCUCCCUAGCUCUUCUUCCUCCCUGUAGCCACAGAGCCCACAGGGUUAAUAGCCAAUUAGUAGGGCCAGGGCUCAGCUAUGUGGGAGAAGGCCCUGGGCCUCCGGGAGAUAAGCAGCAGCCAGAAGCAGCAAGGACCAGGCAGCUAAUCCCACAGCUAAUCUGCAGCUUGGGCCUUAUCUACACCGCCUUCUGGGCACCCAGCUUCUGCCAAGACCCCAGUACCUCCCGCUUAGCUACUUCUCUGUGGAUGGUAGCCCUUCUCCUUUAUCCCUCUGCCCUCCUCUGUGAGACCCACCCCUAUGCCUCCUUCUUAGGUGCCCUGGAAUGAACUCCCCUUCACCCUGCAGUACUCUGGCAUCCACUGUGGACCAAUAGUGGAUUCUUCUUCAUCCAGCCCUGACUAGCAUCUCCAGAGGGAGUGUGCCUAAGACAUGACUUUACUCAGGGGUGACCCAGGAUGCAGGCUCAGUGCUUCAUCCUCCUCUCGCCUCUCCAGGGGCAGAGGAAGAAACUCAACACAAAUUGCUUGGAUAUCUGUGCUGGUCAGAUGUUUGGGGUCACUCAGACCAACCCCCAGCCCCAUGACCCAUUGUGCAAAGGCUAAAUCAGAAACCAUGAGAUGCCAGUUCCCCAUCCAAGAACACACAAAUGAGAAGAUUCAGCAUCGCAACCCAGCCUGCCUCCCCAACUAGUGCCAGGAGGCUUUACUAAUUUUGUCCCCUCCCUGGGAGUCACUAGACAGACACUAAGUCCAGCAACCUGCAGUCUGAAUUAGUGAUUUUUUUUUUACUUUUCUGAACCUCAGUUUUCUCUUCUGUCAAAUGGAAUCUUCCAGAACAUUUCUGCCUGACUUGUUUCUGGGGAUAAUUGUAAGCUUUGAAGGGAAAAAAAGUAGCAAGCCCCAAAGCAAGCAGAUACUCAGGAGUCUAAGGCUGGAGGAUCGCUUCAGCCCUGGAAUUUGGGUGACAUACUGAGCUCCCCUUAAGUAAACAGACAUUUGUAAAAAUGAAAUCAUAUUUAUGAUUCCCCAGCAUUGGUCUGUGAUGGUGGAAUAGAAGCCAGAGAACACGGGAGAAAGGACAGAGUUGGGAGCCCGACAAAGCAGUGUUCAAAUCCUGUCUCUUCCUCUAAUCUUAAUAAACAGCUUCUAGAUCAAGA